ensembl:lncRNA
GGAAAUCUUUAAUAUGGACUUACACAGAGAUGGCUAACAUGUGGUUCCCAAUCUCAAGAAGCUCACCAUCAAAUGCACCGUAGAGACAUAUAGCCAAUCAUUGCAUUAUCAUGUGUGCAAUGACAACCAGGGGUACCAAACAGACCUGUAAGGGGAGGAGGGGAUGGAGACAGAGCAUCAAGGAAAGCUUCCUGGAGGAGAAGACAUGUGAACUGAUCUCCAAGGGAUGAGUGCAUAUUAUCCAAGAAGAGACCAAAAGCCUUUUCCAGCUUUCAAGUUCCCUGCGUUCUAGCUCUGUCUCUCUCCUCUCUCUUUGCUCCAGUGCCAUGGGCAUUCUUAGCUUCUUCGCUGUCCUUCAUGCCUAGGGCCAUCUGGAAUGCUCUUCCCUGUGUCUGGAGUUUCCCUCUAUGCCAGGCUGAUUCUUCUCCAUCCUUCAAACCUCAACUCACAUGUUAGUUUCUCAAGGAAGCCUUCCUUAGGCCCCUUCCGUGUGCUCCUCAGCAUCCUACACUUAGCCUUCAUUGCAUUCAUCAACAUUUUAAUUAAUAAUGAGUUGUGUAAUUGGUUGUUCACUCUCUGUUUUCCCUGCAAAAACACAAGCUCCACAAAAGCAGGCCCCAUGUGUGUCUUUUUAGACUCUCUCUGAGCACCUGGCAUAGGGGGAUACCCAGGGUAGAUUUUCAAUGGCUACUUGGUGGUGCAACAGCCUGGACAGGAGAUGAUGCGAAACUGAAGGAGGGCAGUGGGAGUAGGGAAGGGGGAGAGCCUGGAGAGAACGAUAAGAUGCGCGUUGGGAGGGCCAGGUCACACGUGUGAUGGGGAGGAGGGAAGGAGAAGUGAACAUGACUCGUGGAUUCACUGUCUCACUUAUCACUUUGGCUUGCUAAUUGUCAAAAAGCAGUGCCUUAUAUCUCUCUGUACUAUUUCAUUUAAAACACACUCCACAGCAAUUUAGUUACUGCUUUUUUGAUGUUUCAAAUGGAGAUUUGAGAGUUGUACGUACAGCUAUAUAUUAAAAGGUAUUUUGGUCAAGAACUUAAAUCUCAAGUGAAGUUGUCCAUCUUUGAAGGAGCAACUUGUCACUUCGUAGAUGGUGUCUCCAAGUUUUCACAGCCUAACUGAUGGUCCUGGAAGGCAUUUCACAUCCACGCUGUGCUUUAUGGUGCCUCCUCGAAAAUUAGGAAGAGGCACCCGCCCUGGAUGGACCCAGCCUUGACUCCCGCCCUUGGCCAGGCGCCUGUGUGCAAGUUACAACCUGCUUAAACCUGUGCUAGUGUCCACAACUGUUGUCCGAAGUGUAACAGAAACAAAUAUGGUAGCAGGAAGCCCAGCACCCACUCACAGACACUUGUCACAACUUGAAUCCUCAGCAGUAUGUGCAAGACAAUGUCUCAGGAAGCCGACAAGAGAGCAGUGCCUAGAGCCACCGGCCCUGCCUCACUAAGACAGAAGGGGUUCCAACUCCACCUGCUGCCCCCAGUGCCUUCCUGGAAGCAGAGGAAGAAAUGGAAAAAAGAACAGGUGUAGGAAGAAAAGGGACAUGCCUUAGAGGGAAAAAUGAAACUUCACGGAAGCUGUGGUGUAAAACAGAAUAAAGAGAGCACGCUCUGGUUGAAGUGGGGUGGACGUGGGGAGACUCAGGGUCACUCUCCCUGCUCGGCUCCUGUGCCCUUGAAGAUCUCUGAGAAAUUUCUAGGACUUCAAAGAGCGUGAUGCUGAAGAACUGCUCUGCCAAAAUCACCUGCACCGCCCAUGGCUGCUGCCUCCCCGCCACUGACAGUGCGAACCGCCAGAAACGGAGAUGGGCAGGAGGUCAACCGAGGUUCCCGAGAUGCGGAAAGUACAUGCAUGACAGGGCUUCAGCCCCCUGCCAGCGCUCCGCUCCCUGCAGAGCCGUCUCUGUGCUCCCAGCCUCCUCCACAGCAUUGCUCCGCAUCGGCGGGGGCUUCCUCUGUGCUCUCUUCAGCCAGCUUGCAAAGACUUCCACCAUUCUCUCCUCUCCUGGCUCCUCCACUCAACCCUCCUUUCACUUCUGCAGGCUCCGCUGGGCACUGCUGUCCGUCUGGUGGACACCAUCCCAACAGGAUCAGCCUAUCAGCCGACUCUACAGCCAUCUCAGCUAGGUGCCACCUGUCCAUCAUUUUCUCACGGUCCUCUUGUUAGGAUGGGAGCAAGUCAUACUGCCUCUGACCGCCAUGUCUUAUGGAACCUUGAAUGAAACACGUCUUCACAUUCUCACUUCCAGUUAGAGACCUUAUCACCUCCCUGGAAACAACUCUAACAGGAGUCUCCCUUGGUCUAGGAAAUAAACCCAAGUAGCAG